CCGCGUGAGGGAUGACGGCCUUCGGGUUGUAAACCUCUUUCAGUAGGGAAGAAGCGAGAGUGACGGUACCUGCAGAAGAAGCGCCGGCUAACUACGUGCCAGCAGCCGCGGUAAUACGUAGGGCGCAAGCGUUGUCCGGAAUUAUUGGGCGUAAAGAGCUCGUAGGCGGUUUGUCGCGUCUGCUGUGAAAGCCCGGGGCUCAACCCCGGGUCUGCAGUGGGUACGGGCAGACUAGAGUGCAGUAGGGGAGACUGGAAUUCCUGGUGUAGCGGUGAAAUGCGCAGAUAUCAGGAGGAACACCGAUGGCGAAGGCAGGUCUCUGGGCUGUUACUGACGCUGAGGAGCGAAAGCAUGGGGAGCGAACAGGAUUAGAUACCCUGGUAGUCCAUGCCGUAAACGUUGGGCACUAGGUGUGGGGGACAUUCCACGUUUUCCGCGCCGUAGCUAACGCAUUAAGUGCCCCGCCUGGGGAGUACGGCCGCAAGGCUAAAACUCAAAGGAAUUGACGGGGGCCCGCACAAGCGGCGGAGCAUGCGGAUUAAUUUCGAUGCAACGCGAAGAACCUUACCAAGGCUUGACAUUCACCGGACCGCCCCAGAGA
rnacentral:rRNA from 1 species